AUGGAAGCGUUUCUUCUGAAGAUGUCAGAGGAGGAGGAUCCUGAUGUUCAGGAUAAGGUGUGGAUGAAUGAGGUCCGGGAGCUCUCCUAUGACAUGGAGGACUCCAUUGAUGACUUCAUGCAAAGUGUCGGCAGCAAAGAUACAAAGCCAGAUGGCUUCUUGGAGAAGAUGAAGAACUCAUUGGGAAAGAUGGGGAAGAUGAAGGCUCGUCGGCGAAUAGGCAACGAGAUAGGAGAUCUGAAGAAGCAAAUCAUCGAGGUGGCGGAGAGGAAUGCAAGGUACAAGGCCCAUGAGGCCUUCUCCAAGGCCAAGAAUACAACCAUUGAUCCUAGAGCUCUUGCUAUCUUUCAGCAUGCCUCCGAGCUUGUCGGAAUUGAUGAACCCAAGGCUGAGUUAAUUAAACUAUUGACUCAAGGUGUGUCAACACAAGAGAAAAUAAAGUUGGUAUCCAUAGUAGGAUCCGGUGGAAUGGGCAAGACAACUCUUGCAAAUCAAGUGUAUGAAGAUCUCAAAGGAGAAUUCCAAUGUCAGGCCUUCAUAUCUGUGUCUAGAAAUCCAGAGAUGAUGAAUAUCAUGAGAACUAUUUUUAGUGAAGUCAGUGGGAAAGAUUAUGCUAACACUGAAGCAGGUAGUA
rnacentral:rRNA from 1 species